CGGGGUGAGUAAUGUAUGGGGAUCUGCCUGAUGGCGGGGGGUAACUACUGGAAACGGUAGCUAAUACCGCAUAAUGUCUGCGGACCAAAGCGGGGGACCUCCGGGCCUCGCGCCAUCAGAUGAACCCAUAUGGGAUUAGCUUGUAGGUAAGGUAACGGCUUACCUAGGCGACGAUCCCUAGCUGGUCUGAGAGGAUGAUCAGCCACACUGGGACUGAGACACGGCCCAG
rnacentral:rRNA from 1 species